rnacentral:rRNA from 1 species
UACGUAGGGCGCAAGCGUUGUCCGGAAUUAUUGGGCGUAAAGAGCUCGUAGGCGGCUUGUCACGUCUGCUGUGAAAUCCCGGGGCUCAACCCCGGGCGUGCAGUGGAUACGGGCUGGCUAGAGGCAGGCAGGGGAGAACGGAAUUCCCGGUGUAGCGGUGAAAUGCGCAGAUAUCAGGAGGAACACCGGUGGCGAAGGCGGGAUCCUGGGCCAGUACUGACGCUGAGGAGCGAAAGCGUGGGGAGCAAACAGG